UAGGGAAUCUUCCACAAUGGACGCAAGUCUGAUGGAGCAACGCCGCGUGAGUGAAGAAGGUUUUCGGAUCGUAAAGCUCUGUUGUUGGUGAAGAAGGAUAGAGGCAGUAACUGGUCUUUAUUUGACGGUAAUCAACCAGAAAGUCACGGCUAACUACGUGCCAGCAGCCGCGGUAAUACGUAGGUGGCAAGCGUUGUCCGGAUUUAUUGGGCGUAAAGCGAGCGCAGGCGGAAUGAUAAGUCUGAUGUGAAAGCCCACGGCUCAACCGUGGAACUGCAUCGGAAACUGUCAUUCUUGAGUGCAGAAGAGGAGAGUGGAACUCCAUGUGUAGCGGUGGAAUGCGUAGAUAUAUGGAAGAACACCAGUGGCGAAGGCGGCUCUCUGGUCUGCAACUGACGCUGAGGCUCGAAAGCAUGGGUAGCGAACAGGAUUAGAUACCCUGGUAGUCCAUGCCGUAAACGAUGAGCGCUAGGUGUUGGGGACUUUCCUGUUCUCAGUGCCGCAGCAAACGCAUUAAGCGCUCCGCCUGAGGAGUACGACCGCAAGGUUGAAAC
rnacentral:rRNA from 1 species